CAACAGGGAUUGCCCUAGUAACGGCGAGUGAAGCGGCAACAGCUCAAAUUUGAAAUCUGGCUUCGGCCCGAGUUGUAAUUUGCAGAGGAUGUUUCUGGCGCGGUGCCUUCCGAGUUCCCUGGAACGGGACGCCAUAGAGGGUGAGAGCCCCGUAUGGUUGGAUACCAAGCCUGUGUGAAACUCCUUCGACGAGUCGAGUAGUUUGGGAAUGCUGCUCAAAAUGGGAGGUAAAUCUCUUCUAAAGCUAAAUAUUGGCCAGAGACCGAUAGCGCACAAGUAGAGUGAUCGAAAGAUGAAAAGCACCUUGAAAAGGGGGUUAAACAGUACGUGAAAUUGUUGAAAGGGAAGCGCUCAUGACCAGACUUGUGCUGGGCAGCUCAUCCGGGGUUCUCCCCGGUGCAUUCUGCCCAGUUCAGGCCAGCAUCGAUUUUUGCUGGGGGAUAAGAACGGUAGGAACGUGGCCCUCCUUCGGGAGGGUGUUAUAGCCUACCGUACGAUACCCUAGCGGAGAUCGAGGUUCGCGCAUCUGCAAGGAUGCUGGCGUAAUGGUCAUCAGCGACCCGUCUUGAAACACGGACCAAGGAGUCGUCCAUUAGAGCGAGCGUUUGGGUGUAAAACCCGCACGCGUAAUGAAAGUGAAAUUAGGUGAGAGCUUCGGCGCAUCAUCGACCGAUCCUGAUGUUCUCGGAUGGAUUUGAGUAAGAGUUUUAACGGACGGACCCGAAAGACAGUGAACUAUGCUUGUAUAGGGUGAAGCCAGAGGAAACUCUGGUGGAGGCUCGCAGCGGGUUCUGACGUGCAAAUCGAUCGUCAAAUAUGAGCAUGGGGGCGAAAGACUAAUCGAACUGUCUAGUAGCUGGUUACCGCGAG
rnacentral:rRNA from 1 species